UACCCGCAGCACAAGUGGUGGUCAUUAUUAUUGGGCCUAAAGCGUCCGUAGCUGGCUUGUUAGAUGCCUGGGUAAAUCGAUGCGCUCAACGCAUCGAACUCCGGGUAGACCGGCAGGCUUGGGACCGGGAGAGGCGUGAGCUACUCGAGGGGUAGGGGUAAAAUCCUGUAAUCCUUCGGGGAGGACCAGUGGCGAAGGCGUCACGCUAGAACGGCUCCGACAGUGAGGGACGAAGGCCCUGGGGCCGGCAAACCGG
rnacentral:rRNA from 1 species